rnacentral:rRNA from 1 species
AUUGAACGCUAGCGGGAUGCUUUACACAUGCAAGUCGAACGAGUGGCGGACGGGUGAGUAAGAUAGUGACACGUGCCCAGUAGAGGGGGAUAAGUAGGCGAACGAGUGGCUAAUACUGCUAAAGAUGCGAUCGGGUGAUCUCGGAUUAGCUAGUUGGGGGGGUAAAGGCUCACCAAGGCAACGAUCCGUAGCUGGUUUGAGAGGACGACCAGCCACACUGGGACUGAGACACGGCCCAGACUCCUACGGGAGGCAGCAGUGGGGAAUUUUGGACAAUGGGGGAAACCCUGACCCAGCCAUCCCGCGUGUAUGAGAAGGCUUUCGGGUUGUAAAGUACUUUUGGCAGAGAAGCGGUAUCUGCAGAAUAAGCACCGGCUAACUACGUGCCAGCCGCCGCGGUAAUUC